GGAAAACCCUCUUUGCACGGACGCUCUCAAAGGAAGGUGGACUGCCUUUUGUUUUCGCUUCUGGUGCAGAGUUCACUGACAGUGAGAAGAGUGGUGCUGCGAAAAUCAAUCAAAUGUUUACUCUUGCUAGGAAAAACGUAAGCUUUGCAUUUGUGUGAUUGUUUGUUGUUGCAAAGCGAUGGUAUGACUGACAAGUUUCUACUUUGAUAUAAGUCAAUAUCGAAUAAAAGGGGAAAAGGCUAUCCAAAAAAGUGUACUUUUGUUAAGUUCUUUACCUGCUGGUCCUGCCUAAUUCUCACCAGAAACCGCCUAAUCAUAGCUCAACUUGCCCCUUGACAGCCAUCUCCAUGGAUAUAGCUAUACAAAUGUAUUCUAGCAUGGU
rnacentral:lncRNA from 1 species